rnacentral:rRNA from 1 species
CUACGGGUGGCAGCAGUGGGGAAUCUUGCGCAAUGGGCGAAAGCCUGACGCAGCAACGCCGCGUGAGCGAAGAAGGCCUUCGGGUUGUAAAGCUCUGUCAGGGGGAAAGAAGGCACCUGGGUUAAUAGCCCAAGGGCUGACGGUACCCCCAAAGGAAGCCACGGCUAACUACGUGCCAGCAGCCGCGGUAAUACGUAGGUGGCAAGCGUUGUCCGGAAUCAUUGGGCGUAAAGCGCGCGUAGGUGGUUUGUCAGGUCCGAUGUGAAAUCCUGGGGCUCAACUCCAGGCGUGCAUUGGAAACCGGCUUACUAGAGUCUGGGAGAGGAGAGUGGAAUUCCUGGUGUAGCGGUGAAAUGCGUAGAUAUCAGGAGGAACACCAGUAGCGAAGGCGGCUCUCUGGAACAGUACUGACGCUGAGGCGCGAAAGCUAGGGGAGCGAACAGGAUUAGAUACCCUCGUAGUC